GAUGAACGCUGGCGGCGUGCCUAACACAUGCAAGUCGAGCGUGAACCCUCGCGAAUGAAACUUCGGUCGAUUUUGUCAGGGGGAAAGGCGGCGGACGGGUGAGUAACGCGUAGGUAACCUGCCCCAUACUGAGGGAUAGCCUCGGGAAACCGGGAUUAAUACCUCAUAACACCGUAUAUUCGCAUGGAUGUGCGGUCAAAGAUUUAUCGGUAUGGGAUGGGCCUGCGUCUGAUUAGCUGGUUGGUGGGGUAACGGCCUACCAAGGCGACGAUCAGUAGCCGACCUGAGAGGGUGAUCGGCCACAUUGGAACUGAGACACGGUCCAAACUCCUACGGGAGGCAGCAGUGGGGGAAUAUUGCACAAUGGGGCGAAAGCCUGAUGCAGCAACGCCGCGUGAGCGAAGAAGGCCUUUGGGUCGUAAAGCUCUGUCGGGUAGGAAGAUAAUGACGGUACUACCCGAGGAAGCCCCGGCUAACUACGUG
rnacentral:rRNA from 1 species